rnacentral:hammerhead_ribozyme from 1 species
GCACUGCUGAAGAGUCGCAAAACACAACGAAACAGCUGUCCAGUGC